rnacentral:lncRNA from 1 species
UACUAUGCUGGGUCCUUGUCACUGCGCCGGCGUUCGUCAGCGAGGGCCAUUUGUGCGUCACGUGUCACAGGUAAAGACAGGGCUGUUGGCUAGAUGUCCAGGACGACCCACAACACCAUUCCGGAAGUUCCAGGAAUUAUAUAGUGAUGAUGUCUCUCAACUCUCGUCCAGCUAACGUACCUGCGUCCAGAAGAGUGAAACACGAACAUCGUAACCUUUACAGCCAAGCCUUACAUCUGAUGUCAUCACUGUUUGAGGUCUUCUUAUGUGACAUUGUUCAUCGUAGAAGUGCACGCUUAAUGGUCUACAUUUAGUGCAUUAAUAUUCAUUCAUCAGAGGACCUCACGCUUAAUUCUUCAUCUAAUGCAUCAAUAUUCAUCAGAGGACAUCAUGCUUCAUGGUCAUCAUCUAAUGCAUCAAUAUUCUCCUGAGGACAUCACGCUUAAUUUUUCAUCUAAUGCAUCAUUAUUCAUCACAGGACAAUACGCUUCAUCUAAUGCAUCAAUAUUCUCCAGAGGACAUAACGCUUAAUUCUUCAACUUAUGCACCAUUAUACAUCGGAGGACAUCAUGCUUCAUGGUCUUCAUUUAAUGCUUCAAUAUUCUCCAGAGGACAUCACGCUUAAUUCUUCAUCAAUGCAUCGUUAUUCAUCGGAUGACAUGCUCCACAUUCAUUAGAUGUCAUUGGUCAUCAGAGUACAUCACGCCUCAUGGUCUUCAUCACGUAUAUAGCUGUCACCAGAGAACUUAACCGCCAUAGUUUUAUAUCCAGAGGUACUGUGGCGUUACAGGUCAUCCCGCCGUGUUCCCCUUAAUCCCAGAAGAGGACAACAAGUAUAUAUUUAUCGAAUGUGUGGACGUUAUUUAGGGGACAUCACGCAUACCGUUCUAGCUUCACAUCGUUCUAUGCAUGAGUGUUUGCUGUAGGACAUCAUGCGUGUUGUCAUUGUGACCUUGAUGCUGUAAGCACCACAUGUAUUCUGUAUAUGUUACAUAUUGUUUGUUUAUAUAUUGCACUGGAAUGCUAAGCCUACAGUAUAAAACAACUAAAUCUAUAACUGUCUCUCACCGUGUGUCACACGUGUCUUGGAAUCCACUGAGAAUUCAAAAACUAUAUUAUCCACCCAAAACCGAAACGAACUCGUAGCACUUAAGUAAAAAUGAAUCGAAUUUUAGUAUGGAUUGUGAAUGAAAGUCAGUUCAGGAGAAAAAAAUUCCUUUUAGAAACUAAAAUGGUUGGUUGCUGCUGUGUGUUGCCGGUUUGUAAUUACAGUAAUGGUUAUAUGAACAGCAGAGCACAAGGAGAUAUAUAUAAUAGUCAGUUUGUCAUAACCUGCAAAAUUGAUUUAUCUAAUAUAUCCAGUAUAGAAAGAUUAUCUUUAAUAUUUCUACUUCGGUUAACUAUAUGUAGAAAUGAAUCUAUUUCGACUGAUAACUCCACUUACAUCUUUCAUACCAUACACUUUCAAAUUGGAUUUAAUUAAGCAAGAAAUUAAAUACUUAAUAAGACAUCGAUGACAAAAUGUGAACUUAAAUCACGUUUUUACUAAAUUCAUAUGAUGACACAAUAAUGCCCGCUUUCAUGGAUGAUACGAGCACGUCGUUGGGUUAAUGCAAAGUGAUGCACGGCAUCAUAGGCUGCAUGUGAGAUGCUGACAGAUGCGGUGCCAGCACUGCACCCUGUCUUAUACCACUCUGAACACGCGUAGGUUUAUCUGCUGUGCGAUACGGGAAAUGAUAAGAGCUCAACUAUCACCUCUUAAUGAUGAGCAGAUGAGAGACACAUUCAAUGGCAAAUCUCUCUGUUUUUUUCGUUAGUUCAAGCCGUGAAAAUAUUAAAGACUUCUUGUGUAUGGACUCUAUGAGUUAAUAUGAGUGCAUUAACGCAUUAAUGUCAAGGGUGCGACAUAAAUCAUAUUUGAGUUUGAACUAAAAACACUAUAAGAAAUUAUCUCUAGAGUGAGGCAGUUGGCUUUUUGACGCUAGGCUUUAUAUGGUUGUGAGGCUGUCAGGCAAGCACUGAGAGAUAUAUAUUUUGUUCAGUGUUAACAGGGACAAAGAUACACAUAUAUAAACAUAUACUACUAGUCACAUGUAAAUAUUUAUUUUAAAUAUAUUUUUGCGUGUAUGGAUGAGGGAGCAAAGCUGGGGAGAACGCCCACAGCACAAUAUUCUAGUCAUGACAGGCUUUUAAACGUAAAAGGAGUUGAACGGUGUUGAUGUCGGAUGCUUAUGAUGAGAAUAGUGAGUAUAGUUUUAUGCCGCAUCCACAUCUAUUCUUAUUAUAUCAUGACUGUGAACACUAAAAUGGAAUUUUCACUUUGGUGAGAAGCGCUGUAAUUCAAAAGCUGUCCCAGUCAAAGGAGAUUAGCUAUAAUUAUGCCAUGUUAACAGAUUUAACCUUUUAAAGAGUCAUUAGAAUGUUGUAGAUAUUGUAAGUCGCAUACGUUCAGAUGUUCGUGACAGCCAUAGUUGCAUUGCUAUGUAGUAUGUUGAUUACAGUGUUUCGUAAUUCGUUUGUAUAUUUCAUAUGUGAGGUAGUAUGAGUCAAAAUAAAUCUUUGAAUGUACACAUGUUGACGAUAUUUUUUAUUUUCCAUGUUCAGUAAGGCUUCGACAUACUGGCUCAGGUAAACCGCCGUUUGCUACAUAAAAUAAGUUUUUCCAAGCAGUUGUUUCACAUGGAUGACGUUGAUCCUGACGUCCGACAUUAUCCGAGUCGUCAUCCGGUCUUCGUCCGAGUCGCCAUCCGGUAGUCGUACGUAUAGCGUGAUACAGAUAACUCUGUGGUACCAGAACAAACCUGAUGACGCCAUAUCUAUAUUUGUGAGUGAACGAUUGUUUAAUGAUUGAUCAACGAACGUUGCCACACCUGAAAGCAAGCAUUUACUUGUCAAACACCAUGAGCAUCUAUGUGGGUUAACAGACAGCCACACUGCAGACAACUGGGGGGGUUACUGCAAAUAUUGACUCCGACAAUUGAUCAACGCAGACAAAUAAUGUCCAGUAAUGUCCACAUAAUCUCCGAUGUCAUCUGGACAGCAGAUACAUCUUGUGUUCCGGAAACUCAUAUCUCUUUUAGAACAUGUUCAGUACAAUUGUGCAGGACAAUAAAUCCUUAUUCGGGACUGUGUUUGUGUAUUGGAAUUGGAAAUGUGGACAUUAACCAAACCUCGCUAUUCCGACAUCUUGAUGGAGGCCAGCCUUUGUUGGACGUAUAUGAAGUCACUAUAACCAUGUUAACCCGGACACUGGUAUUCUGGAAACCGAAACUAAGGCUAUCCGCUUUUGUGGCAGUAAAUGUACGAGACCAAAACCAUUAUACCAUCUUCAUAACCACGGGGAAUCUCUACCCAAAGUUGAG